GGCCGGUUAGCUCAGUUGGUUAGAGCGUGGUGCUAAUACACACGUGCUUCAGGUUACGCGUAACGCCAAGGUCGCGGGUUCGACCCCCGUACGGGCCA